AUAUCCUGAAGACUUUAGAACUCUGGCCACAUGUUACCCAGAAGAUGACAGAUGAUGGAUCAUGAUUUUGAAUUUCAGGAACAACCACUACCUCUUUAUCCAAUAACCACAUAAGCAAUCACAAAUCAAGUCUACAGUUUUUUGGCUCAAUUCAUGUGAAAUGCAAUAAACUUGUCCUUCAAUCACAGAACACAGGUACAGGAACUGUAUCACAGAUGGAGAGUAUAACCAGAGAAGUGUCAAAUGGUAUAUAUUGAGCAUUAGAUUCAAACUGUGCACAGCAGGGCCAUAGAGUGACAC